rnacentral:snRNA from 1 species
GUGCUCGCUUCGGCAGCACAUAUACCAACAUUAAAAUGAUACAUGAAGGUUAGCAUGGCCCUGCACAAGGAUGACACGCAAAUUCAUGAAGCAAAUUUCUUUAAA